rnacentral:rRNA from 1 species
UACCAACCGGCGAACGGGUGCGUAACACGUGAGCAACCUGCCUAGAUAUGGGGGAUAGCCGGCCCAACGGCCGGGUAAUACCGCAUACGACCGCGAGGGGGAGUCCCCUUGCGAGGAAACCUCCGGGGUAUCUAGAGGGGCUCGCGGCCUAUCAGCUAGUUGGCGGGGUAACGGCCCACCAAGGCUACGACGGGUAGCUGGUCUGAGAGGAUGGCCAGCCACAUUGGGACUGAGAAACGGCCCAG